GGAGAGCUUAAAGUUGUUCCCCACCGACUGAUGAAGAGUAGUGUUAUCUGUUGCUUAGUUAUUAUCGACCGAGAGAGAGAGUGAUAGGAAGUUGCAAACCGUGAGAGAGUUUUACGUUUCUGUUUUGGACAGUAGCAACCGAGAGAAAUGAGAGUUUCACCAUUUCUUUCUCCUUCCAUCAUUCUAAACCGAGAGCUAGGCCAGUGUUAGGAGGAGGAAGCUCUGCUAGUUCAUCUCUGAUUAGUUAUCACCGAGAGGAAGAGAGCAAGUAGUUAUAGUCGAGGAAACAGAAGCUAAGUAGGAACAGUCUGCAAUUUGCUGGGUUUUAAGGGAAAACAGGUAAAGAAAUUCUGUAACCACCCUUUAUUUACUAAAUAUCAGUGAAUAUAUUGAAUGCAUGCAAGUUUUAGCAAGGGAAUAACAAGUUUUAACCGAAGGAAAAAUCUGUUAAAGAAGGAAAAUAGAAGCUGGACUGAAGUCGAAACCGACAGCUUGCAGGCUGAGUUGCAGCCUGCUGUUAUUGAAAAAAAAAUGGAAACUAAUGGUAGAUUUUGCAUGUAAUACGUGGGUCUCUGAUAUUUGGGAGGUUUAGUUGAAGAAAACUUGGGGAAAGGUUGGAUUUUGGAUUGAAACCGAGGGAAGUUUUCUGCUGCAAAAUUUUCCAGGCUAUCCGAGAGAGAAAAUGGACAGAUUCCUAGCUAUUUUCAAGAUUUUUGGUCUUGAUUAUCUAUGUUAAACUGUAAUAUAUGAUGUAUAAGAGCUUGGUCUGAACAUGCAUGAAAGAUAUGAGCAUGAACUGAAGAGAUUAUUAGAGAGAAAAAUUGUGUUAAGAUUGCUGCUAUAAUUCUGGAAAAAAAUGCCGAGGGAGGAAAAUUGAGAGAUGAACCAGUGUUGUACUGAUUUACCUUGGCUGCCAUUUUGUGUGUUUGCUGAGGGUACUCUGUAGUUUAAUCAGUAUAUUAACUCAAUGAAUUGGGUUUAAACUGAAUGAAUUAGGGAGGAAAAGCUAUGAAAUGCGUAGUUCUUUACUUCACAGCCGCGAGAGAAGAAAAAAAAUGGACUGAUCAGUUUUUCUUUUCUUCUAAGUGAGCUACACAAUUCUGUGUGUUAUGUACGAGGCUCAUUGGUAGUAUAAUAAACGUGGUUAACAUGUCUAAUUAGGAUAGAAAAACUUGGAAGGAGGAACUGGAGUGAAACGGUAAACAUUGGACCGAUAUAUACAUAGCUAGGGGAUUGCUUAAAAGCUAUGAUAGUUAAAACUGAUUUGUGUGCAUAGUUUGAACAAACCAUUGGUUACAAUUAAAUGUUUCUUAUCCUAAUACAUGUUAGAUUAAAUGUAAGUUAAGUAGUUGGUGAUUUAAUCAAGUGAAAAAUGAAGUUAUUGGAUGAAAACUUGAAGUUUUGUUGCUGAAUUUAUGUAGAUAGGUUGUAUGGCAUGAGUUAAAACUUAUUGAUAUUUUAGAAACUCUAAAGUAAUUUGUUAUGGCUGUAUUCAUGAAAUGACUUCUAAUCGCUUAAAAUUGGCUUUCUUAGUAAUUCAAAGACUAUAAAUUGUGAGAGGUGAAGGUUGUGGACUAAGUUAAUUUACAAAUAACUUAAAGUUUAGUUAGUUUAAAAAGGGAGUGGAGUAUCUAUAAGCCAUAAUUAAUAUUGGAUUGAGAAAGUAUAUUGGAUUGAAUGAGUAUACAAGUUAAACUUGAAGAUAGGUAUGUUUCAUGGUUUGAAAAUAAUAAAGUUAAUAAGUUUUCAAAAUAAAAGGAUAAAUGAAUAUUAAGAAUGUUAAAUUUAUAUAUUAAGGUCAAACUUGAUUUUAAUAGUUUAAAUAAUAAAGUAAGAAUGAUAAGUGAUCACUUACGAAUUAUAAAUUUACCAUUGAAAUUAUUAAUUUGCUCAGGAAAUAGCUGUGAGCCAGGAAACAAACUCGAGGCUCGAGAGUAAUUUACUUGGAUAAUUGGUGAGUGUUUUCCGAAUUUAUGUGUUAAACUGCUUAUGUGUACCUAAGUGAAAUUAUGUGACAAAUGUAUUUAUUAUGAAUUAUUACUAAAAGAUUCAGUGUAAAGUAUAUCUCAAUUGUCCAUCGCCUUCUAAGUCGAGAGUGUACUUUAUCGCACUCGGCUUAGUUGAGCUUGAAGGUCAAUAAUUGACUGAAUGUUACUGUAAGUGUGCAUAAAUGUAAGCAGUAUGUGUGCCUCGCCGCAUCAGCUGAACUGGGUCCCAAAACCCUCUGUUCAACGGACUAUUCGAGCCAGCAAAGGGCUUGGUCGGGUAGGACGGUAGCUUUGGAUAAAUGUUUCGGUAUACUCGAGUAUUACCAUGAGCUUGGGAGAUCAUUGCACUGAUUACUGAAUGUAGGGGAUUGUUUAUUGUUUUGGAGGACAUAAGGAGGUGAAUUGGGAGAAAGUACAGUGAUAUUGAAAUGAAUGUACAAUGAUAUUGAAAUGAAUGUACAAUGACACUGAAAUGAGUGUCUCUUGACACUGAAAUGAAUGCUCAAUGACAUUGAAGUGGCUCUAAUGCGAGCACCGUAUCCUUUUAAAAGUGAUUGUAUAGUGAAGUGUUUCCUCAAUUAUUUAAUGAAAGUGAUUGUACAGUGAAAUGUGCACUACUUGUUUAAUUGUACUGAUUUAAGUGUUUAUUAAAUGCUACUUGUUCGGCAAACCUCACUGAGCUUUAGCUCAGUCCUUUAGUUUUGUUUUCCUUACAGGAGUUGGAGAUUGAAAAGUGAUUGGAUGGAAUUGGAAAGUUAUUUUGGGAAGAUCUAUCACUGUGUGAAUAUGUUGUAGUUAUGUUUUCUUUUGUAAUUAGAGACGGUUGAAUCUUUUGUUUUGAGUUGGUGUAAUAUUAAGAAUGGUUGUUUAGAACAUAUAUUGUGUUUCUCUUAUGGGAUGAAUUUAUGUUUCAAGCUGGUUGGAGUUGUACUUAAGAGUGAACGAGGGAUCUUAGGAAGUUAACGUGAAGACUUUUGUGAUUGUAAAUCCUUCAGUUUCAUAUUAUAGUUGAAACUUUUGUA
rnacentral:lncRNA from 1 species